AGUGAACGCUGGCGGUAGGCCUAACACAUGCAAGUCGAACGGCAGCACAGUAAGAGCUUGCUCUUACGGGUGGCGAGUGGCGGACGGGUGAGGAAUACAUCGGAAUCUACUUUUUCGUGGGGGAUAACGUAGGGAAACUUACGCUAAUACCGCAUACGACCUACGGGUGAAAGCAGUGGAUCUUCGGACCUUGCGCGAUUGAAUGAGCCGAUGUCGGAUUAGCUAGUUGGCGGGGUAAAGGCCCACCAAGGCGACGAUCCGUAGCUGGUCUGAGAGGAUGGUCAGCCACACUGGAAGUGAGACACGGCCCAGAAUCUGACGGGAGGCAGCAGUGGGGAAUAUUGGAAAAUGGGCGGAAGCCUGAUCCAGCCAUACCGCGUGGGUGAAGAAGGCCUGCGGGUGGUAAAGCCCUUUUGUUGGGAAAGAAAAGCAGCAGGUUAAUACCCCGCUGUUCUGACGGUACCCAAAGAAUAAGCACCGGCUAACUUCGU
rnacentral:rRNA from 1 species